rnacentral:rRNA from 1 species
UGACGCUGGCGGCGUGCUUAACACAUGCAAGUCGAACGAACCUUCGGGUUAGUGGCGGACGGGUGAGUAACGCGUGAGAAUCUGCCCUCAGGAGGGGGAUAACGGUUGGAAACGACCGCUAAUACCCCAUAUGCCGAUAGGUGAAAUGAAUUUCGCCUGAGGAUGAGCUCGCGUCUGAUUAGCUUGUUGGUGAGGUAAUGGCUCACCAAGGCUUCGAUCAGUAGCUGGUCUGAGAGGAUGAUCAGCCACACUGGGACUGAGACACGGCCCAGACUCCUACGGGAGGCAGCAGUGGGGAAUUUUCCGCAAUGGGCGAAAGCCUGACGGAGCAACGCCGCGUGAGGGACGAAGGCCUCUGGGCUGUAAACCUCUUUUCUCAAGGAAGAAGAUAUGACGGUACUUGAGGAAUAAGCCACGGCUAAUUCCGUGCCAGCAGCCGCGGUAAUACGGGAGUGGCAAGCGUUAUCCGGAAUUAUUGGGCGUAAAGCGUCCGCAGGCGGCCUUUCAAGUCUGCUGUUAAAGCGUGGAGCUUAACUCCAUUAAGGCAGUGGAAACUGAUAGGCUUGAGUAUGGUAGGGGCAGAGGGAAUUCCCGGUGUAGCGGUGAAAUGCGUAGAUAUCGGGAAGAACACCAGUGGCGAAGGCGCUCUGCUGGGCCAUUACUGACGCUCAUGGACGAAAGCCAGGGGAGCGAAAGGGAUUAGAUACCCCUGUAGUCCUGGCCGUAAACGAUGAACACUAGGUGUCGGGGGAAUCGACCCCUUCGGUGUCGUAGCUAACGCGUUAAGUGUUCCGCCUGGGGAGUACGCACGCAA